rnacentral:misc_RNA from 1 species
UGGUUCUGGCAUCGAUGAAGAACGCAGCGAAAUGCGAUAAGUAAUGUGAAUUGCAGAAUUCAGUGAAUCAUCGAAUCUUUGAACGCACAUUGCGCCCCCUGGCAUUCCGGGGGGCAUGCCUGUUCGAGCGUCAUUACACCACUCAAGCCUGGCUUGGUAUUGGAGGCCGCGAGCGAUCGCGCCUCUCAAAGUCACCGGCUGAGCCGUCCGUCUCCAAGCGUUGUGGCAACUAUCCGCGAGCGAGACCGGGCGACCCGGCCGUUAAACCCCCCAUCAAAGGUUGACCUCGGAUCAGGUAGGGAUACCCGCUGA